rnacentral:rRNA from 1 species
GACGAACGCUGGCGGCGUGCCUAAUACAUGCAAGUAGAACGCAGUUGCGAACGGGUGAGUAACGCGUAGGUAACUGCCUCAUAGCGGGGGAUAACUAGUGGAAACGAUAGCUAAUACCGCAAACGGUGAGAAGGACCUGCGUUGUAUUAGCUAGUGGGUGAGGUAAAGGCUCAAAAAGGCGACGAUACAUAGCCGAAUGGAGAGGGUGAGAGGCAAAAAUGGGACGUAGAAACCGACAAGAAUACUACGGGAGGCAGAAGUAGGGAAGCUUCGGCAAUGGACGGAAGGCUGACCGAGCAACGACGCGUGAGGGAAGAAGGUUUUCGGAUCGUAAAGCUCUGUUGUUAGAGAAGCGGUAACUAACCAGAAAGGGACGGCUAACUACGUGCCAGCAGCCGCGGUAAUUC